GACGAACGCUGGCGGCGUGCUUAACACAUGCAAGUCGAGCGGGAUCCAACCGGUGGCAACACCGGGGAAGAUCUAGCGGCGAACGGGUGAGUAACACGUGAGCAACCUGCCCCGAAGACUGGGAGUAACACCGGGAAACCCGGUAGCUAAUACCGGAUGUCGUCAUUAGGCCGCUAUGACCUGAUGAUGAAAGGAUUCAUCGCUUCGGGAGGGGCUCGCGGGCUAUCAGCNGUUGGUGGGUAACGGCCUACCAAGGCGACGACGGCUAGCUGGUCUGAGAGGACGACCAGCCACACUGGGACUGAGACACGGCCCAGACUCCUACGGGAGGCAGCAGUGGGGAACCUUGCGCAAUGGGCGAAAGCCUGACGCAGCAACGCCGCGU
rnacentral:rRNA from 1 species